rnacentral:lncRNA from 10 species
CUGAGGAGCUUGGGCUUUAUCCCCAAGGCAAUGUGCAGUUGAAGGAGGUGAGAGCUGUGGUGAGAUCUGGGAAGGGGUGGUGUGGAGGAGGGAUGUGAGGGACCCACUUGCAGAGUCAGGAAGACAGGUUGGUGGGCUCACCCAGGGGUCCAAGUGGAAGAUGAUAGAAGGUCUGCAUUGCUUUAGUUUGUGAUAAAGAGCGAGGGGAAGUCGGGGUUAUUUAGAUAAUACUAGACCUGGCAAGGUGGAAUUCUUUUCAAGAGGAGAGAGGUGUGACCUUCUAUAGGAAAGCUCAAUGAGGAGUUUUGGAAGUAUUUAAAAUAAGCAAAUACAUCCCUGAGAAAAACAGAACCAUCUAAAGAAAGCAAUAUGGCUAUUCUGGAACUCCAUGGUGACUUCAGGCUCACAUUUUUAAAGUCCUGUGUGUCCAGGAAAGAGAGGGACAUAGAAAUAAGCUGCAGUUUCCUGGUAGGGACAAGGCUUUGCUGGCUUUGUUCCCAUUCAAUUCCCAGUGUCUAGCAUAGUAGCGGGCAUGUAGGUGCUUAGUAAUACUUAUCAAGAGAAUGCACAGAUAAGUGAACAAAUGGAUGGAUGGAUGGAUGGAUGGGUGGGUGGAUGGAUGGGUGGAUGGCUGGCUGGAUGGAAAACUUCCUAGUGGCAAGAUAUGAACAAGUAGUGUUGACCUGGCUAAUAUCCUAGGUAACUUUUGUAGAAAAUGCUCAAAAGGAACAAAGUAGAUGUUUAAAGCUAUUUUUGGAAAGAAAGAAUUGCCAUCAUGAAUGGGUGCUGAAAGAUGACAACCCCUUGAGUCAACAGCCCCCUGCUUUGGACUGAAAAUGCGAGCCUGUGCAGAAGUAUAGAUGUAGUGGAAGCAGCAGAGUGAAGGGACAGCAAGCAGGCCCAGAAGAGGAACCCUUCAAAACGCAGGCUCUAAGCCACAUCCAUGGGUCACGGCAGAAGCCUGAAAUGGGCCCUCUCUGUUCCCAUCUGCACACAGGCUCCAGCAGUCAUUAGGACACAGGUGGCAUCUGCACUGCAGUGUCCUGGGAGUUUCCUGUGUCACUUCCUUUUCAGCCUGUGGGUCAGAGCGAGUCACGUGGCCCACCUGCCUCUGGGGCAGGGAAGUGCGACGUCCCAUGUGCAAGAAAGGGAGGCACGGCGGGGAAGCUUGCGCUCUAGCAGACUCUGCCAGGAGUACAAAAAAGUUGGUUUAAAAUGAGUGUCCUUUUCCCCUUAAAGUGAUUUUUAAAAAAAUUCUUUAUUUUUAGAGUGGUUUUAGGUUCAUAGCCAAAUUGAGCAGAAGGCACAGAGAUUUCCCAUACAGCCCUUGUCCCCCUAUAUGCACUGUAUCCCCCUUAUCAAUAUCCCGCCCCAGAGAGCCUCAUUGCUUACAAUAUAUGGACCUAUCAUGAUCUCCCAAAGUCCACGGUUUACAUGAGGAUUCUCUCUUGGUGUUGUAUACUCUGGGUUUGGACAAAUAUAUCCACCAUUACAGGCUCAUACAGAGUAAUUUCCUGCCCUGAAAAUCCCCCGUGUUCAGCGGAUUCAUCUGUCCCUCCCCGCUGGCUCCCUGCAAGCAUGCAUCUUUAUACUGCCUCCCCGGUUUUAGCUUUUCCAGGACCUCAUUAAGGAGAUCUUUACGUUUUUCUAGACACAGAAGUAUGCUGCUUUAUCUUCUGUGUUAUGUCUGUACUUUUUAUAAUGAACAAUGCUGUUUUAGAGCCCAUGCUGAGUUUUUGAUUCGUUCUUUAACAUGGAAAGAGUCAGCCUCUCCUCCCACUUUGUUUUCUUCUGUGGUUAAUUAUUCUUUUCUUUAAAAAUUAAAAAACAUCAAACAGUCUUCUUAUCAAUCUUUCUCUUUAUGCCUUUGGAGUUUCGUGUUAUGCAUUAGGAUCACCUCCCCUUCCUAAGAUUCAAAAAUAUUCACAUACAUUUUACCCAAUACUUUGACAGUUUACCAGGUUGCAGGAGCUCAGCCUGGUGGUCACCAGUUGCCAGAAUCCUCCUCUGUCAGGUGAGGGUAGGGUUAUCUCUGCCCAGGGCUCCUCGCCAAAUUUCGUGUGUGUGUGUCUGUGUGUGCGCAGGUGCAUGUGUGCACAUCUGCGGGUGUAAAGGUUUCUUUUGGAGCACUGGCCUAGGUAUUUCCGCAGUGCUAAACACCUGACUUGGCACAGAGUAGGCCAGUAAAUGUGUGCUGCGGUGGGCUAAGCGUCUUCAGCGCAUGCUGGCAUAAGACUGUGGGUCUGAUCGCUCUCAGGGAGCCCUGGGUCCUGGUCUACCCCAGAGCUGACUGGUUUUAGUUUGGGGUUGGUGUCCAGGCAGUGUGGUAGCUGAUCUCCAGGAAAUAUCCAGCUGUGGAGGCAUUGGUCCCCAGCAAGGUUGACCUGACUUUUCCCUAUUGAAUUUCUUAGGAAGGUAAAACACUGAUGUAGUAGAUCUAUGCUACUGUGUCCAAAAUAGCAGUGUAAUAUUGCACUUUAAAUGUUUCUUCAUCUGUAAAGUGGAAAUAAUAAUUUCUGUCUUAGAUGUACACUCAGGACAGUGUCUUGUCUAUAUUAAAACUCUCCCUCUCUCUCUAUAUAAUCACUUAUUAUUUCCUUAGUUGUAAUUCUUUCACUGUUCAAUUAGAACUUUACUAAAUUAUUAUAUGUCUUUCUUUUGGUUAAGGUAGUAGAUGAAGUUUGAAAUCAUCUUUUAUUCUGGAAUGCUAGUGGGCCUUUCUCAACUAAGGUCCCAGGAGAGAACUAAGCCCUACAAAAAACAAAUAGGUGACCGUUGUCUCUAUUCCCCCAAGGAUGAUGCAUAACUAGCACAAUUCUAGAAGGGUAGGAGAGAAGGUAUUAAUUAUUUUCAGUAGAUUCCUGCAUGCAUCAGGGAUAAAUUCUCUUGUGGGACUGAGAACACCCAACACCCUGCUGCUUCAACUCCCUUUUAAAAGCACAUUGCAACUCUUUCUGUUGCUGGUUCCUGUAAGCAAUACAUUUAAAAAUAUUAUUUGUUUCUUAGGAUUUAAAAUGUGUUGUAUUGAAACGUUGACCCAUCAUGGCUGAGACUUGGAUCAGUAUCUCACUUCAGGAAACAGGACUCAAGCUGGGCGCAGGGGCUCACGCCUGUAAUCCCAGCACUUUGGGAGGCCGAAGUGGGUGAAUCACACGGUCAAGAGAUUGAGACCAUCCUGACCAACAUGGUGAAACCCCGUCUCAACUAAAAAAGCAAAAAUUAGCUGGGUGUGGUGGCUGGUGCCUAUAGUCCCAGCUACUCUGGAGGCUGAGGCAGGAGAAUCGCUUGAACCCAGGAGGCGGAGGUUGCAGUGAGCUGAGAUCAUGCCACUGCACUCCAGCCUGGCGAGAGUGAGACUCCAUCUCAAAAAAAGAAACAGGACGCAGACAUACAUUCUAGGUAAUUCUUGGCUGUCCCUUACGCGGUUGGGUGCAUAUACUUUGAUUAAAGUCCUCUAUCAUUCCUUUUUCUCUUGCAGCCUAAAAUAAAGACACCUCUCUGUUAUGGACUGAAUUGUGUCCCCCCCAAAUUCAUAUGCUGGAGCCCUAAUUCCCAAGGUGAUGGUAUUUGGAGAUGAAGUUUUUGGGAAGUGAGUAGGGUUAGAUGAAGUCAUGAGAGUGGGGCCCUCAGGAUAGGAUUAGCAUCCUUUUAAGAAGGGACACCAGAGUGCUCCCUCUCUCUUUCACCAGGAGCCCAAUCAGCUAGCAUCUUGACCUUAGACUUCCACACUCUAGGACUGUGAGAAGUAAACACCACUGUGUCAGCCACUGGGCCCACAGCACUCUGUGAGGGCAGUGCCAGCUGGCUGAUGCCCUCUUACACCAAUGGGGAUCUCACCCCUGUGCCUACAUGGGCCGUCCUGGUCUCCCAGGAGCCAGGGCAUUCCACCUGAAGUGGUCCCAACAGGAAACACACACCCCACCACCUCGGCCCACUAGGCCUGCAUCGCUUCCACUCAGGGCUCCUCCCACAGGGAGGUGUGCAGCAAGGAUUUUGUUCUGGGGGAGAGAGAUCAGGAAGAAGAGAAAAUUAAAUAAGAAAUUGCUAAAUGUUCUGUUGCAAGUGGAAGGAAGGGGAAAGGCCAUGAACUGACACAUAAUAUUUUUCCUAUUACAAUUGCAGAAGUAAUAUAUAUUCAUUAUAAAAAUUCAAGCAACAGAAGUGUAUACAAUAAAAAGUAAAAUUUCCUCUUUGUCAUUUCAUCAUUUCACAUUCUACUCCUUACUCACUAGAGGUCUCCACCAUUAGUUAAUUGACAUUAAUAUUUCCAAGAGGUUUUCAGAUUGUACACACACACACACACACACACACACACACAGACAUAUACACAAAUAGAAGCUUUUUUUCAAAACAAAACUAUUAUUCAGUAACUUGUUUUGCUUCAUUUAAAACUCUCUCUCUCUCUCAGAUAUACCUCCAUGCUAUUGCAGAUGGAUUUAUUAUUAUUAUUAUUAUUUUUGAGAUGGAGUCUCGCUCUGUCGCCCAGGAUGGAGUACAAUGGCAUGAUCUCGGUUCACUGCAACCUCCGUCUCCCAGGUUCAAGC